UACGUAGGGGCAAGCGUUGUCCGGAUUUAUUGGGCGUAAAGGGCUCGUAGGCGGCCAACUAAGUCAGACGUGAAAUCCCUAGGCUCAACCUAGGAACUGCGUCUGAUACUGGAUGGCUUGAAUCCGGGAGAGGGAUGUGGAAUUCCAGGUGUAGCGGUGAAAUGCGUAGAUAUCUGGAGGAACACCGGUGGCGAAGGCGGCAUCCUGGACCGGUAUUGACGCUGAGGCGCGAAAGCUAG
rnacentral:rRNA from 1 species